UGGAGCAUGUGGUUUAAUUCGACGCAACGCGAAAAACCUUACCUAGGCUUGACAUCCGGGAAUUUGCUGGAAACAGUGAAGUGCUUUCAUUAGAAAGAGCCCGGUGACAGGUGCUGCAUGGCUGUCAUCAGCUCGUGUCGUGAGAUGUUGGGUUAAGUCCCGCAACGAGCGCAACCCUCGCCUUUAGUUGCCAGCAUUCAGUUGGGCACUCUAAAGGGACUGCCGGUGUCAAACCGGAGGAAGGUGGGAUGACGUCAAGUCCUCAUGGCCUUUAUGUCUAGGGCUACACACGUACUACAAUGGCAGGUACAAAGGGCAGCGACACAGCGAUGUGAUGCGAAUCCCGAAAAGCCUGUCUCAGUCCGGAUCGGAGUCUGCAACUCGACUCCGUGAAGUUGGAAUCGCUAGUAAUCGUGGAUCAGCAUGCCACGGUGAAUACGUUCCCGGGCCUU
rnacentral:rRNA from 1 species